rnacentral:rRNA from 1 species
AGGACAAUGUAUGGUGGGUAGUUUGACUGGGGCGGUCUCCUCCUAAAGAGUAACGGAGGAGUACGAAGGUGCGCUCAGACCGGUCGGAAAUCGGUCGUAGAGUAUAAAGGCAAAAGCGCGCUUGACUGCGAGACAGACACGUCGAGCAGGUACGAAAGUAGGUCAUAGUGAUCCGGUGGUUCUGAAUGGAAGGGCCAUCGCUCAACGGAUAAAAGGUACUCCGGGGAUAACAGGCUGAUACCGCCCAAGAGUUCAUAUCGACGGCGGUGUUUGGCACCUCGAUGUCGGCUCAUCACAUCCUGGGGCUGAAGCCGGUCCCAAGGGUAUGGCUGUUCGCCAUUUAAAGUGGUACGCGAGCUGGGUUUAGAACGUCGUGAGACAGUUCGGUCCCUAUCUGCCGUGGGUGUAGGAUACUUGAGAGGAGUUGCCCCUAGUACGAGAGGACCGGGGUGAACGAUCCACUGGUGGAUCUGUUGUCGUGCCAACGGCAGUGCAGAGUAGCUAUGAUCGGACAGGAUAACCGCUGAAGGCAUCUAAGCGGGAAGCCCCCCUCAAAACAAGGUAUCCCUGAGGGCCGUGGUAGACCACCACGUCGAUAGGCCGGAGGUGUAAGCGCAGCAAUGCGUUCAGCUGACCGGUACUAAUGGCCCGAUAGGCUUGAU